ACAACGAAGAGUUUGAUCCUGGCUCAGGAUGAACGCUAGCGGCAGGCUUAACACAUGCAAGUCGAGGGGUAACAGAUCUCUUCGGAGGUGCUGA
rnacentral:rRNA from 1 species